CUGGGUAACAGGGCGCUCCGGCGUCCGUCACCACCCCCUGCUUCCCGCCCCCUUUCGGCGCGACGGGGUCCCUCGCGGGGCCCCCUGCCGGAUCCCAAACCCUGAACGAACUUGCAGCCUGAGUAAACAAGCAAAUAAUCA
rnacentral:misc_RNA from 1 species